AAAACAUGGAGCCCAACAAGACUGCUGCUGGAAAUCUAGAGUUUGAGCGUCAGCUUCCUUGGAUCAAAUGAUAUGCAUUUGAAGAGUUUCAACAAAUAUCAGGUUUUAACGCAGCCUGUGCUUACAUUUAUUUAUUAGAUUGGGUCGUAUGAAACUGGAGUAGCUGAAAUACACUUCUUUACUGAAACAUCUUCAAUCUUGAACUUCAGUAUCACUUUGUUUGAGAAAGACUCAAGUUCAUUAAGACAUGCUAAAGGAGAGAUGGAUGCCGUGGUGAAGAAAUCCCCUGGGUGCCCCCUUCCGACAGCUGACCCCCGUCACGGGGGAUAAGGAUGGAUUUAGCCGGAAAGGCAAAACCGUAUAUUUACUUCUGGACUAGAAAGUUUAUUUUUGUAUCUUAAGAGAACAGAGCUGAUUAAGAGAAUUGAGUGGGAAAAUCUUCUUGAGUAGGUGGCGAUAAUGUACCUUAACAUAGGUGCUACCCGCCAUAAAACCGAAGAAGAAGAAGGCAAAACCGUCCGCAGGAAGAGCGCCCCCUGUUGCUACGGUCAGACAGCACACGACUCAUCCUGGUUGAGGACUUGCCAAACGGAGCUGCACAGGGAAAGGAAACUGAGGCAAGUCAAAUUUGCGCAAAAGAACGCAUAAAGAACCGCAGUGAGGGCACAUUACAGAAGCCCACACCGCUUCACGAAGGCACCUGUACAGAGGGCAAACAUAAUAAGCAAGACCCCCACCAAAAGUGACAGCUCUCUUUUUGGCGCCUUCCAAGGACUCAGUCUCAAUAUGAAUGUAGCACAAACCUCCAUAACAACACCACCAAAUGCAGAUCCGUGUAAAGUCGUGUGACCAAGAAAACCGUUUCAAAUGACUCUAAUGAUGGGACUGUUAUCAGUAUAAUUCCUGCUUACCAAGAGGAGGUUCCUCAAGAGCGCUGCUGAUUAAUAGGCCUAUCAGUUCAAUAUCU